rnacentral:hammerhead_ribozyme from 1 species
AUCCAGUUGACGAGUCCUAAAUAGGAUGAAACGUACGUCCAGGAU